AGAGUUUGAUCAUGGCUCAGGAUGAACGCUGGCGAGAUGCUUUACACAUGCAAGUCGUACGAGAGUUUUUAACUCAAGUGGCGGACGGGUGAGUAACACGUAAGAAUUUGCCUUUAGGAGGGGGACAACAAUUGGAAACGAUUGCUAAUACCCCAUAUGCUUUCGAGUGAAAUGGAUUUUUCCGCCUAAAGAGAAGCUUGCGGCUGAUUAGCUAGUUGGUAAGGUAAUGGCUUACCAAGGCGACGAUCAGUAUCUGGUUUGAGAGGACGAUCAGACACACUGGAACUGAGACACGGUCCAGACUCCUACGGGAGGCAGCAGUGGGGAAUUUUCCGCAAUGGGCGAAAGCCUGACGGAGCAAUCUCGCGUGAGGGAUGACGGCCUAUGGGUUGUAAACCUCUUUUUUCAGGGAGGAAUAAAAUGACGUGUACCUGAAGAAUAAGCAUCGGCUAACUCCGUGCCAGCAGCCGCGGUAAGACGGAGGAUGCAAGUGUUAUCCGGAAUCACUGGGCGUAAAGCGUCUGUAGGUGGUUUAAUAAGUCAACUGUUAAAUCUUGAGGCUCAACCUCAAAAUCGCAGUCGAAACUAUUAGGCUAGAGUA
rnacentral:rRNA from 1 species